CUGUCUCUCAGCACCAGACACAAUUUACUGUGAUCUACCUCAUACUGAAACUGUUUGAACUGUCCUUGGCAGGGCGUUGCUGGCAAACCAGGCCCUCGGGGUCAGCGAGGUCCAACGGGUCCUCGAGGUUCGAGAGGUGCGAGGGGUCCAACUGGGAAACCCGGUCCCAAGGUAUCAUCAGCAUUUGUUCCAUUUGGGCUCUGCUGUAAGGGCCUCUUCCAGAGGACGGAUGUUACCAGAAGAAGGAAUCAAAACUGAUUUUUCUUUUCUGUUUUGUUGCUGUUGUUGUUCCUGCCAGGGCACUUCAGGUGGUGAUGGUCCUCCUGGCCCUCCUGGUGAAAGAGGGCCUCAAGGACCCCAGGGUCCAGUUGGAUUCCCUGGACCAAAAGGUCCUCCUGGACCACCUGGGAAGGAUGGCCUGCCGGGACACCCUGGGCAACGUGGGGAGACUGGAUUUCAAGGCAAGACUGGCCCUCCUGGUCCAGGAGGUGUUGUUGGACCACAGGUACAUUCCAUUACAUUAUUUCCCUAACAAGAUUUAUUGUUUACUGUUUAUGUUUUCACCUUUCCUUAGUUGUGUCAAAUUUGCUUAUUUUAUUAUUAUUGAAAAUGAUGUAUUUUUAUACUUCAGAUAGCAUUUAAAUAUAUGCAACUUGCCUACAUCAAAUGAACUCUAGCAAAUCAUUAACUAAAGCAAUUUUUCAAUUGCCUAAAUGAAUAAAAGAAAAGAAUAAAAUAAGCAAUGAAAAUAAGUCAGAAUGCUUACAACAAAGUUAACACAAAAGCCUGAUCAUGGCAUCACCCGCUAAAAACACCAGAAUACUUUUUAAAUAGAUUGGCCGUCAUGGUUUUCGGGGAUUUCAAAUUUUAAAAGAUGACUUCAGUGUUGAGUAUAAGUUAGAUUUAGAGGAGGGGACAGAGAAGAUGGCGGAGUAGAAAGACGCUCGCAGGUCACCCUCUCCCACAAAUACACCAAGACCCACAUCUACAGACCCACUCAGCCAACCAGAGCACCUGUGGAACUCCGACAGAACAUCGCCCUCUUCAAAAGAUAAAGACGCCAAAAAUCUGGUAGGAGAAAAGGAAAAAAGAAAGAACAAAAGGCAAAGCAGCGUGGGACGG
rnacentral:lncRNA from 1 species